rnacentral:tRNA from 1 species
UUAAAAUCCGUUGGUUUUUUAGAACUGUGAGGGUUCAAAUCCCUCUACCCCCA